GGAAAGAAAAUAUGUUCCUGGCAGGAGUCCAGACUUGCAGAGAUCAGGCUUCUCAUGACUGAGGACUGACGGUGCGGAUGGAGUCUCUCUUCACACAGAUCAUUGAUGCGGGGAGGAAAACAAAGUUCUGCCCAACCCAGGUUUCAGACAAUGCCUGUCUCACUGAGCAUCCAUUAGUGCCACCAGGUGCAGCAGCAGAGAAUCAGCAGAAAGCCAGGAGUGGAAGUACUAAAAUAUUGCAAGAAAACAUGAAGUUUCCAACCAAGGGACCCUAUUCUGUGAGGCAUUGAGCAUCUGUCUUCACUGGGCUCUGAAGACACUCAGCCCCUUCUAGGAGCUAGGGGUUCAGCAUCUUACAGGACCAAGUUGGAUGAGAAGGAAUUUGAACUGGGUUCUCCCAGCUCUGAGUCCACAAAGAUGUGGUGAAGGACUCGCUGAGCAGUAUGAAACUCCCAUCUCUGAGUAUCUGGGAUUAACUUCUAAGGAUGUUAACUCCAGGAUCCACUCUACAUGUGGCAGGAAGAGAAGCGAGCAACAGGCCUGACUCUCCCACCAAAGCAAUUACGCCCUGGCUGCUGGGUGUCUGCCAUGAUCCAGGCAAGGUGCUCUGAGACUCACCACACUUAUUUCCAUGUACAACUGCAGCACACAGACAGAAGUGGAAGUAUUUGGAAAGAAAUCAGAAGGGAUGGUAGUAAAAUUGAUGUCAUUUCCUUCACCUCUUUUUCCUCAGUAGGGCUUUCAUCAUUCUACCAUUUUUUAGCUUUGUUGAUUGAUUUUCCCCCCUAAUUUUUCCUUCUAGUUUAGGCAUUUUAAAAUAAAUUUAAUUUUUUCACAAAUUGAUUAUUAAACAUAUGCAGGUCAAAAAAUCAGUCCCGGAAACCCAAUACUGCUGUCCCCAGUAGCAGCCACUUAAGGGAAGUACUUCAAAGACACAUAGGGAGAGGAACAGACCAUCAAUAGACACUAACAUAUUCCUAAAAUCAUUCUUCAGCAUAAGUGUCAUGAAGAAAACGAACAAUCCACUUCCAGUAUUCGUCAAUCAAUGAACAGUUGAGGAUUAAAAUUAAUAUUAUAGAAUAACCAAUUAUCAGCCUGAACAAAAAUUCCCAUGUCCAUUCAUCAUGGGCUUGUUCCUCCAAGGGGUGGGUAAGGUUUAAGACAGGGAGAACAGCUCUGAGCUACCACGAGGCUUCUUGAGCAUGGUGCUUCGUUACUUCACUUUCUGUACCGUGACUAAGCCAAGGACUGAUGUGCAGGCAAGAACACUGUACCCAGCACACUUCAUGAAGCCCUUCGGAGCUGGCUGUGAGAUUUGUUGUUUGCUCAGAACCCUUGGAAGCUAUUCUCCAUCACUGUCUGGCUCUCAUGUAGAGCUGGACUUUGGACCCACGAAGCCUGGCUCCCCCUUAUCCCUUCCGACACCCGGGAUCUAGUUCCAGCGUUUAUUUUCUUUAAAAGUAAGUUUCUAGCUCUUUUUCUUGCCAAGAUUUCCUCAAGACUAUGAGCAACCAGUGCACGUAAAUCAACCAAGUAAACCAAUGCACACUGAUCAGUAGGCUCUGAAAAUCACUGAUGAUUUUUGUCCUAAGGUUAUGCUGGUUGGCACCAUCUUCCUAGCUGCCUCUACAAUCAGUUUCUUUUAAAUUCAGUCAUGCCUAUUGCCAAGUAGGAGGGCAGUCAAAGGAAUUGAAAACCCUAAGGAUCUCUAUCCUAGCAGUUGUCAAACUGUGGGUCAGGACCCCAAAGUGAGUCGUGACCCCAUUUUAAUGGGAUCGCCAGAGCUGGCGUUAGAAUUGCUGGGGUCCAGGGCUGAAGCUCGAGCCCCACCACCUGGGGACAAAGCCCGAGCCUCACCGCCCGGGGCCAAAGCCUGAAAGCUUCAGCCCUGGGUGGUGGGGCUCAGGUUACAGGCCCCCCAUCUGGGGCUGAAGCCCUUGGGUUUUGGCUUUGGCCCCCCUGCC